UCCGGUGCUUCUGGCGCUAGGGAAACACCUGUUCCCAUUCCGAACACAGCAGUUAAGCCUAGCAGCGCCGAUGGUAGCCUCACGGCAAGAGUAGGUCAGUGCCGGGU
rnacentral:rRNA from 1 species